AGACCUGGUGUCUGCUCUUGGCUCUGCUCUCACCUUCCAUUAGGGAAUAACAGAAUAACUGAGCUCUAAGGGAUGUUCCAGGCCCAGACCUCUGUAUGCAGGCAGCCACUGCCUGGAAAAUGACCAUCCCGCUUCUUCUCCGAUGCCUCUGUGGCCAGGAGGAGCCUGAGCAUUCUACCUUGGAAGAGGAAACUGAAGCCCAGAGGAGGGAAGCGCCUCAUCUGUGAUCACAAAGGGGCAGAACUGGAAUGUGAAACCUAAGUAUCCCGACUCCAGAGCCCACGGGCUGCCCAGUCUACCGCGCUGACUCCCGAACAGCCUCCAUAAGCUUUCCCAGCGUCCCCAUAAGCUGCUCCACCUCCCUCCCUGCUCCUUAUCUCCAGGUCUUCUGCAGGAGCCAGGGGAGAUGAGAUCUUAAGCUCUCCUUAAUAAGUGUUGCCAAAGGGUAGAGCUGUGACUGGUUAGUGAGGUCACCGCCCAGUAACUAGACUGGGGCUCCUUUCUCUUGGCACUUUUGAAUAUUGGCUACGCUGGUUCAGUCCUCCCAAGGCAGAUCUUUUCCAAAUGGGUCCUUGGCUUGUGGUUGGAACCCACAGUCACUGGCCCAGCAGUGGGGCUCAGUGAUUAGAAUCCUCCAGUUCAAUAGAAUUCAAUUCAGCCAACAUUUUUUACUUAUUGUAUUCAGAACUCUGUGAUAAAUGCUGCAAUCCUUAGAUAAAACACCAUCUCUGCCCUCAGGGAGUUUAUAGUUUAAUAUGAGUCAGCACUUAGCAGUCCUUGGCAUACAGUAGUAGCAAACGCUUGCUGAUGGGAUGAUCAAUUGAUGGCAGAUGGGACACAAUCAGUUAACUCUAGUACACGAUAUUCUGGGGGUAGGUGUAGUAGAGAGGAUCAUGAGUUUCCUGAAGCCUGAGGAGGAAGAUCUCUAGGAACUUGGAGACCAAAGCAGGCUUCUUGGAGGAGGAAGCAUUCGGCUUGGGCUUUAAAGGACGGGUAGGGAAGAGAGGGAGGUAGAACAGGGGACAGCACACGCAAAGGCCUGCAGGUGAGAAAACAAGAAGCAUAGAAAAGAGGGUAAGUAGAGUAGCGUGGUUGGAGGGGGCAUGUCACUGCACAGAACAUGCUUCUGAAGCCUGAUGCUUUAUUACGGAUGAUCUAGUUGGAUUAGUUCAUGAUUUUUUUACAUGAGGAAACAAGCCCAGAGAAGGACAGGAGCUUGCCAAGGAUACACAACAAUGAUUGUCAGCCAGGCUUUGGACUCAGGUCUUCUUGACCCUCACCAUGCCAUGCUGAGGGAGCUAAGACCAGAAAGACACAGUGAGGCUAGAAUGUUAUGCCUUAGAGGUACUUAACUUAGAAUGUACCACUCAAAAUAAUUUUAUUAAAAAAAAAACCCUCCAAGGUAGAGUGUGUGAUGAAACAACUGAGUGCAAUAUUACUAAAAACAAGUUCCUAGAGAAGGGGCAACAGAGAGAGAGAGGCAGCAGAAGCCAAAGACACUAGUUUUGGAGCUUGGAGAGAUCUGUCUUCAAAUCCCGACCCUGGUACUUCAGAAAAGCAUGUGACCCUGGACAAGUCACUUCACUUUUGCUGCCCCUAAUGGGCAAAAUGGGAGCAAUAAUGACUGAGGGGCUCUGAGGCUCAAAUGAGACAAUGUAUUUACACUUCUGAAAACUUCAAAGGGCUACAAACAUGCCAGCUACUAUUACUGUGGUUGUUGCCGUUAUUAAUGUCUUUAGAUCAAAGCUGAAGACAAAACUCCUUCCUGUGUAAGAGGGUGAGGCUUCAUCAUGGGCACCCUCCUUGGGUCCCCAUCUGGGGACCCCACUGAGAACCAUGGAGAGUGUAAGCACCAAGAAGGGAGUGGCAGACACCUCAAGACCACCACGAGUGCAUGAGCAGCUGGGCUGCUCCCAGCUUCCACCCCAGAAUGCCUCUCAUACUCAGUGCCUACACAAUGCUUGCUCGCUCUCUGCCUGGGUUGAGUCAGUGGUUGGAUGGCCCAAAACCCAGCGUCCUGCCGACAUCAGGUACAGCAUGGUAUUUAUUCUUCUCACUAUUAUUUAGUUAGCCAUGAUCAGUUCCUGCUUCAUUUAUGACUGAGUUCAUCAACAGACCCGAUUAGUUUGCUUUGAUCUGAUAUAAUUCUUCUAUCUGUAGGAGACCUCUUUGAAGAUGGCUCCUGUACUUGAGGCUACCUUCAUGUCAAAACACAUUCAGGCACCAUCAGAUGAUUUCCCUUCUAGGAUGACAGAGCUAUGCAUGGAUUCACUUUGUCCUGUUAGCCUCUUUAAGAACCAGGAAUGUCUGUCUUGACAGAAGCAGAAACGGGGGAGUUUUCAACCCAUCAGUUCAAUCAGUCCUUAAGCAUUUAUCAAGCCCUACUAUGUGCCAGGCACUGCACAGGUCUGCAGUUUAACUGCAAGAUCAACAUGAGUCAGCAGUGUGAUACGGGAGACAAAAAACCCCAAUGCCGUCAUGGGCCACCUGGCAUCACCACGGAGACCAGGAUGCCAGAGAUGGCUGCCCAUGGUGUCCUUCUUGGCCCCUGCCAGGCCCUUGCCUUAGGACUGCUGGAGGGCAAGACAUUGAUUGACAGGCUUACCCUGUCCCAACGUUUUGAUUUGUGGGAAGGAAAAAGAAAAUGAUAAGGAAGCUACAGAAAGGAAGAUAAAGGGAACACCAUAAAUGGAGAAGGUCCACAGCCAUCACCCUCACCAGAUGCUGGAACACAGGUGGUGUGCUGAUGAGAUCCACUUUAGCUGCCGACAAAGAUGGUGAAUCCUCAAUCCCCUCUCCCCUUCCCCUGACUCUUUUGAAAAGGUGUGAGCCUGUUUCCUUGGGGAUGAGGGGCAGAGGUGGAGGCUUGGUUUUCUGUCCUGAAAGCCUGUUUAUCCAUUUUACGUUUAAAGGUUUGCUUUGCAUCUUGUGUUAGCAAUUGUGAUUAAAAGAAUGUAACUGGUGACCCAAAGCCCAUUGGUAUAGGACUCUCUCCUCAUAGUGGAGGUCAAUGCCCUGGGCUUGAGUGAGGGUGAAACAAAGUCAACAAGGUUAGGAGAGAGGAACAGAAAGGGCUCUCUUGGAGCUGUGAAGUCUUGCCAACUCCAACCUGCCCACAGCAGCCCUAGGGCAUUGAUCUCCAGUAAUGGGGAGAGAGUCCCAUAGCAAAGGACUGUGGGACUGGGUUACCAGUGCUUGUAUUGCUAAA